rnacentral:rRNA from 1 species
GACGAACGCUGGCGGCGUGCUUAACACAUGCAAGUCGCACGAGAACGCUCCAGCUUGCUGGAGCUAGUAAAGUGGCGCACGGGUGAGUAACGCGUGGGUAAUCUACCUCCGAAUUGGGGAUAACACUGCGAAAGCGGUGCUAAUACCGAAUGACAUCUCCGGGACUCCGGUCUUGGAGGUUAAAGGUGGCCUCUACAUGUAAGCUAUCGUUUGGAGAUGAGCCCGCGUACCAUUAGCUAGUUGGUGGGGUAACGGCCUACCAAGGCAGCGAUGGUUAGCUGGUGUGAGAGGAUGAGCAGCCACACUGGAACUGACACACGGUCCAGACUCCUACGGGAGGCAGCAGUGAGGAAUUUUGCGCAAUGGGGGAAACCCUGACGCAGCAACGCCGCGUGAGCGAUGAAGGCCUUCGGGUCGUAAAGCUCUGUCAAGUGGGAAGAACCUGCUCUAUGCCAAUACCAUGGAGCACUGACGGUACCACUGAAGGAAGCACCGGCUAACUCCGUGCCAGCCGCCGCCGUAACAC